rnacentral:rRNA from 1 species
GACGAACGCUGGCGGCGUGCUUAACACAUGCAAGUCGAACGGAAAGGCCCUGCUUGCAGUGUACUCGAGUGGCGAACGGUUGAGUAACACGUGGGUGAUCUGCCCUGCACUUCGGGAUAAGCCUGGGAAACUGGGUCUAAUACCGGAUAGGAGCCAUUUUUAGUGUGAUGGUUGGAAAGUUUUUUCGGUGUAGGAUGAGCUCGCGGCCUAUCAGCUUGUUGGUGGGGUAAUGGCCUACCAAGGCGGCGACGGGUAGCCGGCCUGAGAGGGUGGACGGCCACAUUGGGACUGAGAUACGGCCCAGACUCCUACGGGAGGCAGCAGUGGGGAAUAUUGCACAAUGGGCGAAAGCCUGAUGCAGCGACGCCGCGUGGGGGAUGACGGCCUUCGGGUUGUAAACUACUUUCGCUAGGGACGAAGCUUUUUGUGACGGUACCUAGAUAAGAAGCACCGGCUAACUACGUG